rnacentral:rRNA from 1 species
GAUGAACGCUGGCGGCGUGCCUAAUACAUGCCAGUCGAGCGAACAGAUAAGGAGCUUGCUCCUUUGACGUUAGCGGCGGACGGGUGAGUAACACGUGGGUAACCUACCUAUAAGACUGGGAUAACUUCGGGAAACCGGAGCUAAUACCGGAUAAUAUUUCGAACCGCAUGGUUCGAUAGUGGAAGAUGGUUUUGCUAUCACUUAUAGAUGGACCCGCGCCGUAUUAGCUAGUUGGUAAGGUAACGGCUUACCAAGGCGACGAUACGUAGCCGACCUGAGAGGGUGAUCGGCCACACUGGAACUGAGACACGGUCCAGACUCCUACGGGAGGCAGCAGUAGGGAAUCUUCCGCAAUGGGCGAAAGCCUGACGGAGCAACGCCGCGUGAGUGAUGAAGGUCUUCGGAUCGUAAAACUCUGUUAUUAGGGAAGAACAUACGUGUAAGUAACUGUGCACGUCUUGACGGUACCUAAUCAGAAAGCCACGGCUAACUACGUG